GACCAGCUUUUCUGACCUUGUGCAGCUGUCUGUUCUAGCUGACCGGUGCAGCCAGCACUGCCAGCAGUGUAUUUCAGGCAAGAACUCAGCCGCACUUGCAGAGGGACCAUUUGGAUGCAAGAAGUGGCAGGAAGAAGGGAGCAGCUCCUGGAAUCCCGUCAUGAGGUGCUCUGUCCAGACUCAGAUCUGGGAAACAAGGGGCUUCAGCGAUGGCUGGCCAGGUGGUUGACAAGCUUGUCCCUGAGCAGCCCUGCAAAUGCCGGGCUCCCCACCUCCCUGCUCAGCAGCUGAGCCCUGCAAAUACACUCACUGUUUUCAGUCUAAUGACAGUCCUUGUAAUCUCUUCAUUUGUCCUGUGAUCUGAACACUUCCUUCUGAUUAGUUUUUAUUUUUAAUUAUUUUUAGUUAGCAUACAAAAUAAAAUGUCUUCACUGUGACAUUUUAUACAGACUGUAGUUUGCUUAUGCUCACCCUCUGCUAGACUCCCUUUCCCCUCCCCGACGAGGUUAGUCCUCUCCCUCCUCCUGUUUCCCUCAUGCCUUCAUGUUACCCAUGUUCAAAUCUAGAUUCCACAUAUGAGAGGAAAGAUGUAACCUGUCUUGUCCCCUCCUAGUCUCUCUUGGUCCCCAACCUCUCUACCACCCUCCUUCCUCUUCUUUCUAACUUUACUGGACACUUGGGGCAAUCACUUCAACCCCAGUUUGCUUGUACUUGAGAAGGGGGCAGUGGACAGGAGCCCUCAGUGAUAUGUGUAUGUGUGUGUAUGUGGUGUGUAUGCUGUCUAUGAGUGUGUGUAUGUGGCGUGUAUGCUGUCUAUGAGUGUGUGUGUGUGUGUAUGUGGUGUAUAUGCUGUGUAUGAGUGUGUGUGUAUGUGCUGUGUAUGCUGUCUAUGAGUGUGUGUAUGUUGUCUAUGAGUGUGUAUGUAUGUGUAUGUGGUGUGUAUGCUGUGUAUGUGGUGUGUAUGCUGUGUAUGUGUGUGUGUGUGUAUGUGGUGUGUAUGCUGUCUAUGAGUGUGUAUGUGUAUGUGGUGUGUAUGCUGUGUAUGAGUGUGUGUGUGUAUGUGGUGUGUAUGCUGUGUAUGAGUGUGUAUGUGUAUGUGGUGUGUAUGCUGUGUAUGAGUGUGUGUGUAUGUGGUGUGUAUACUGUCUAUGAGUGUGUGUGUAUAUGUGGUGUGUAUGCUGUCUAUGAGUGUGGUGGUCACCAUGGGCUCAUACACUUGAACACUUGGUCCUAGGUUGGUAGGGCUGUUUGGGAGGCUAUGGACACUUUAGGAGGUGCAGCCAUGCUAGAAGGGCAGGCCUUUUCAGGGUUUAUAUCCCCACCCUGCUUCCUGCUGCCCCUCGGCUCCCUGUGUACGGGUGAAAUGCUGCCAGCUGGCUUUCUGUUCUGAUGCCAUACCAUGCUGCCAUCCCUGGCCGGGAAGGAUUCUAUUUCUCUGGGACCAUAAAGCAAACCCUUUCUUCUGUAGGUUGUUUCUCUACGUUAUCACAGCGACAGAAGGGUAGCACAUCAGGUAGUGGUCCAUCUUCUCUUUCCUUCAUAACUCCUCCAGCACACAGAGCUUAUCAACCUGCUUUUCUAUUGAACAAAUAGACCUUCCAUGCCAAAAAAGGCAAGAUGGCAAGGUCACCUUUUAAACGAGAUGUCACCUUACAACUUCUCUGGUCUUAGCAAGUCACAAAGGAAGGUAAGAGUCAGGACAGAUUUCAGGAGGGUUCUGUCAGACAACAGUGCCUGGUGACCACAGAAGCACCAGAGCUCCAGCACAGGGAUCCACGAGGCCUCUGUGACAUCACAAAAUCAGUACCUGCUGGCCUUGUUCAGGUAGAACCAUCAAGAGGCCUUCAGAAGGAGACGAACGAGUAAAUGACUCGAGGAGACAGAGGGACAGGAGCAUGACAAGGAAGCCUAGGCUGUUAGAGACUGGUGUGCAGUCAUCUGGCCCCGGGAUCACAGGGAAUGCAAAGACGCUGACGCAGUGGCGAGGAAGGUUACAGUGUAAAGCUUUUGCCUAUUUACAUUUUAAAUGUACUUUCUGGUGACUAAGAAAAUGAAAAAUCAGUGCAAGCACCCUGUCCAAUCUUGAAAGCCUGUGAGAAAAGCACCCAGCAUGAAGAGACCCCUCCCUGUCAGUAAGGGCAGGGAGUCAUGGGGUAAGUCCCCUUAAACACCCAGCAUGGAGACACCCCUCCCUUUGUUAGUAAGGGCACUGAGUCAUGGGGUAAGUCCCUUUUAUACUUAAGACGCAAUCUCCCGUAGGAAAUUUAGAACAAUAACUUGCGCCUUGGCAGUUUUAUGGUCCAGGCUAUUGAGCUAGCUUCAAGAUGCACGAAUCCCUUGAGGGAAAGCCAGGACACAGUGGAAGGCAGCUCAAGAACGAACAUCAUUUACUUGUGAACGGCGGUCUUAGAACUGCUUGUUUGCCUCUGACACUUGAGGACGAGAGUAACCAGUACACAUUUUGGACAAGCCUGGGAAGUUACCUUAUCUAUUUUGUGGAAAAUUAUGCCUCGGAAACCAUCAUGUUGGUGCAGAGGGAAAGCCCCCGCACUUUGGCUAUAAGUAAAGCCGAGCAGAAAGCCUCUGUUUUCAAGCAAAUUGGAAAAUGAUCGCUUCCACGACGCAGGAUUACAGUUUCUAUAGCGCACAAGUGCUCAUUACAAAUGAACUAUCGUGUUUAUCAUCAGAGAGGGCAGAAGAAUGGCGGACAGGAGUCGAGCCAACACCACCCAUUACUGAGCCUGCCCAUGGCUGAACAAUAGUUUCAAUACACAAAGCCAAGGAGCAGAGUGCAGGCCUCCAUCCUGCAUCACCGGGACAACGGAUGUUCAAAAUCACACUUGGAACUUCCCUCCAGCUUCGGAAACACUGGUUUGUGUUUACCCAGCAAAGCCAAUCGCAGCUGUCUGGGUAGCAGGACUCCUGGUUACGCCUGCUGCUUAACCCUCAAGGCUCAACAGGAGACUAUGUGGCUUAUCUGAGGGGGUCAGAGUUUGCAGAUGCCCCCACUGCACCUACAUCUGACAGGGUCCUGAGCCCCUGGGGUGGCUUCGGCUGUGAGCCCACGGGGUAGCGUGCCAGCUCACUGCCUGGCCUACAGCAGUGGCUCAGAACGUGUCUGUCCAGUUGGUGUCAGAUUUUUGAGCUAACCCGGGCCUCACACACUGGGGUUCCUACCUGGUUAAAUGAUUCAGUAUCGGUUGAAUUAUGAUGUUAAUUAGGAAGUGGCAUCAGGAGAAAACAGAGUCUGAAAGCAUCAGCAGUUCUCAUCCCAAAUGUGAAAGGCUUAGGAGGGCUAUGUCUUCCAUUCCUUUCCCAACUCCUCAGACAUUUAUAGUUAAUUAAUAUUAAUGGUAGAAGAUCAUUCCACUGUGAUAUGAAGUGAUAAAUUUGAAAUCAGACUACAAGUCCACAAGCGCCUCUGUAAUUGUAGCUGCUUUGUUUUAGCAAAAACCCAAGUACUGCUUGAUGCUGUGGGGCUCCCUGGUCAUCGGGCAACAGAGUCAGCUUUGUGCGAUGGGAUUCCCAGUUAGUUUGCUGGUAUCAGCGGCUGCUAACAGGCGGGGGCUUCAGCCACGGGAGCUAAUGGUGCUGUGGGCGCAUGAACGUGGGUCCUUUUGUUUAAAUCUGUGACUUCCGCAGUAGGUUGGCGCAGGACUGGAUCUUCAGUUGGAGCUGUGAUAUAAAUAAACGGGCUUCCUGGAUCCUCCCUUCCAACACCCAGGGUAAGUCAGAGAAGAGGCUGGAGAGUGGGAAGACCCAGCAGCUCCCUGGAAGACACGACUAGCUACCCUGGCCUGGUUCAGCUGUGCAGUGCUGCGCCUUGCCUGCCCAAGGCCCUGUCCUGAAGCAGAAAUGCUUCCCUCACGCUGAGGCUCUGGGCACCAGAGAUGAACUAGCCACAGCUGUUAAGAUGGCUUCUGUGGCAGUCACGACCACAGGUUCUCUGGGACAAGUUUAAUAUGCAAUGCUACGGGGAGGGAGAAGGAAAACCAAGCAGGUCCACACUGCCAAGCCAUGCCACCAAGGGCACAGACAUCCCUGUGUUAUUUGUGAUUGUAACACGGGCUCCGAGCUAUUGUAUGACUUUGGAUAAAAGAAGGAAAACGAGGUCUGGGAAGAGAAAGCUCCCCCUCCCCUCCCCCACAGCAGCUGGCAAAUGUGUGCUACCAGAUGAUCACCGCCCUGAAACUCCGCUCUACAACUUUGUAAGAGAUGUUUAUUACUGAUACUCAGUGCAUAAUUUACAACACUGUGCUGAAAUUCACUUACACUCCAUUUCAAGGGAUUGUGAAAAGAAAAUGUCAACUGUGGGGGAAAUACACUUUAUGGGUCUUGGCUUAAAACAAAAGGAAAAACACACAUGCGAGUCCCUCUCGGUGGAAGGAAAUAGUUUAAUAAAUGGCCUAAUGAACAGUG